rnacentral:rRNA from 1 species
ACCGGGAUAACCCUGGGAAACUGGGGAUAAUACUGGAUAGGCAAUUAUUCCUGUAAUGGUUUUUUGUUUAAAUGUUUUUUCGCCUAAGGAUGAGUCUGCGGCCGAUUAGGUAGUUGGUUAGGUAAUGGCUUACCAAGCCGUUGAUCGGUACGGGUUGUGAGAGCAAGAGCCCGGAGACGGAACCUGAGACAAGGUUCCAGGCCCUACGGGGUGCAGCAGGCGCGAAACCUCCGCAAUGUGAGAAAUCGCGACGGGGGGAUCCCAAGUGCCAUUCUUAACGGGAUGGCUUUUCAUUAGUGUAAAGAGCUUUUGGAAUAAGAGCUGGGCAAGACCGGUGCCAGCCGCCGCGGUAACACCGGCAGCUCUAGUGGUAACAAUUUUUAUUGGGCCUAAAGCGUCCGUAGCCGGUUUAAUAAGUCUCUGGUGAAAUCCUGCAGCUUAACUGUGGGAAUUGCUGGAGAUACUAUUAGACUUGAGACCGGGAGAGGUUAGAGGUACUCCCAGGGUAGAGGUGAAAUUCUGUAAUCCUGGGAGGACCGCCUGUUGCGAAGGCGUCUAACUGGAACGGUUCUGACGGUGAGGGACGAAAGUUAGGGGCGCGAACCGGAUUAGAUACCCGGGUAGUCCUAACUGUAAACGAUGCGGACUUGGUGUUGGGGUGGCUUUGAGCUGCUUCAGUGCCGAAGGGAAGCUGUUAAGUCCGCCGCCUGGGAAGUACGGUCGCAAGACUGAAACUUAA